rnacentral:rRNA from 1 species
AGAGUUUGAUCCUGGCUCAGAGCGAACGCUGGCGGCGUGCCUAACACAUGCAAGUCGAACGUGAACGGGGGCAACCCCUAGUAAAGUGGCGAACGGGUGAGUAACACGUAGCUAACCUACCCUCGAGCGGGGAAUAACCCGGGGAAACCUGAGCUAAUACCGCAUAAUAUUCCGAUGGCCUAAGUCAUCGGGAUCAAAGGCCCGCAAGGGUCACUUGAGGAGGGGGCUGCGGCCGAUUAGCUAGUUGGUGGGGUAAUGGCCUACCAAGGCGAUGAUCGGUAGCCGGCCUGAGAGGGCGCACGGCACACUGGCACUGAGAUACGGGCCAGACUCCUACGGGAGGCAGCAGUGGGGAAUUUUGCACAAUGCCCGAAAGGGUGAUGCAGCAACGCCGCGUGAGGGAUGAAGGGCCUCGGGUCGUAAACCUCUUUCGAUCGGGAAAAACGGGCGGGUGAAGAAUCCGUCCUGAUGGUACCGGAUGAAGAAGCCCCGGCAACUACGUGCCAGCAGCCGCGGUAAUACGUAAGGGGCAAAGCGUUGUUCGGAAUUACUGGGCGUAAAA